rnacentral:rRNA from 1 species
CGGGCCAACGAGUUACGUUAAGUAGCAAGGUUAAGCACUUAAGGUGCGGAGCCGUAGCGAAAGCGAGUUUUAACUGAGCGUUCAGUUAUUUGACGUAGACCCGAAACCGGGCGACCUACCCAUGAGCAGGAUGAAGCGAAAGUAAAAUUUCGUGGAGGUCCGAACCCACGAGCGUUGAAAAGCUCGGGGAUGACUUGUGGGUAGCGGUGAAAUUCCAAUCGAGCCCGGAGAUAGCUGGUUCUCCCCGAAAUAGCUUUAGGGCUAGCCUCAAGG